CUGAGGUGCACCUGAACGCAGCACACAGUGUCCAAUGCUCCUGAUUGUCCUCUCUUUGGGUGUUUCCUUCCUGCUCAAAGUUUACUUUCACUUCCUGAACUUCGUGCAGUGGAGCUUGUUGUUGGUGUGUGAAGAAACUACUGACUGAAGAUGAUGAUGGAGGAAGAGGAGGACAGAGCAGAGUCUGCAGGGUCCAGCUGUCCGUCUGUGAGGAGUGACCAGUCCAAAGGUCUAAAUCCUCCAGACUUCAGUGCUGAACCUGGACCAACGAGAGGUCAGAGGUCACAGUCUGCAGGGUCCAGCUGUCCAUCCAUGAGGAGUGACCGGUCCAAACGUGAA